GGGAAUGAAGCUGAAUCAGGAAGCCAGCAGACAGAAGACUUCACAGAAGAGGGGGUGUUUGACUUCAGCACUGAGAGCAAAGGAUAACAUCAAGCCUUAAAAUCUGGAAAGAACGUACCUCAUAGAUUUUUCAUUUUACUAAGCGCUUCAGUGAUGAAACAGUUCUUCCUAAAACACGCCUUCAGAGACCUUUCUUUGAGACAAUAUGUGAUAAUUCUUUUAAAAAAACUUGACCCCCCCCAGCUCAAUGAGACAGCUGUGUUUAAGAUGGCCUUGCAGAGCCUUAGAAAAGCUCUGGGAAAUGGCCAGACACAUCACCUUGCAAUUCGUGUCAAGAGUUUGGAAUUUAACCUGAGAAGGGUAGGCGCCAUAGGGGGACUUCAAUGAGCAGCGAGGUAAAGAUCUGAGGUAUGUUUAAAUGGAUAAUUCUGUGUGGGGAAGAGAUUACAGAGAGUCAAGUGUGGAGGCAGAGAGAUGGCAAUGAUGCUUUGUGCCAAGAUGGAGAUGGGGAGACAGGGCGAGCUUGGUCCUAUAUAUUGAAGACCUAGUUGACAAGAUUUGCAGAUGGGAUGUAAGCAAAGAGGCAUAGAAGUUGACUACUUUUUUUUUUUUUUUUUUUGCCUAAACAACUGGGCAAUCAUGAUGGCAUCUAGUGAGAGGGAAUUUGAGAGCGGAGAAAGUUGGAGAUCAGGUUAUGGCAUUGUGUUUGAUUCUGGACAUGCUAAAUCAAAUAUCUAAGCAUUGGUAUCAAGUAAGCAGUCUGGAGUUUGGGGGAGAUGUUGGUGCUAACAUACACAUUGGGAGCUGUGUAGAGGUAUUUAAAGCCAUGAGACCGGGUAUGAUCUCUUAGGAAGCGAGACAGCAAAGAGAAAAGUUUCUAUGAUUGAGCCCUAGAUCCUCCAGCAUUUAAUCGUCGAAAAAAGAGGUGGAUCCAGCAGAAGAAUAUGAGAAGGGGUGGCCAGGAAGGAGGAGUAAAAUCAGAGGGUGGAAUCCUUGGAGCAAAGUGAAGAAAGUGUUUCAAGAAAGAGGAAGUGCUCAAUUACGUCAGAUGCUACUGACAGUCAGUGAAGCUUUGGUGACCUGGGUCAUGACGCUAAAUGCAAUUGCUUACUGAGUGAUGCGCUGGCACUGGGUUUUAUACCAGAUGAAAACUGAGUUAAUCAUGGGAAAAAUCAGGCAGAGUUCAGGGUGUGCUGGGUUUUAAAUAG